UUGACACUGAGAGAAGGAAACGAAAGCUCGGCUGCUCUGAGCACUCUGGAAAAGCAGGCACGGCGAAGCAUGGUGGCUGUAGCUCGCUGCCCCUCUCUUCUCAACCCCCUUUAGGUUUCUCAAAACUUCCGAAGCAUCUUCAUGGAGCAACAAAGAAUGUGGACAUUCCCAGACUAUGAGGCCGGGAGAGCUGAAGUGCAGAACCCGACUAUGUCAGGACCCACAACCACCCUGAAAAAGAGAGCCACCUGGAUUCCCUUUGUAAAGGUCAAGCCGAAAUGUGACCCUUGGCAGAAGAAGAUGCUGACCAGACUCAAAGAGCGCAAAAGACUAGACGAGUUAAUGCACCUCCAGUCACAGUUUUUGAAGAUUUCUGACCCCGUGCAAGUCAUGCAAGUACUCCAGGACCAUGCUGCAAAGACAGUGCCUAUGACGACACAUGACCCAUCUCUCCCAACUUCUCAGGCUCCGAGUCCGUGCAACUAUGACCACAUCUGGAAGAUAUUUAUAGCAACCCCAAGCUCUACCAGGUAGGACAGGAACACACAGUCCGUUUGCCUUUUGCUCCCUUUGGCCCCAUGUGUUGCCUUUAGUAAUUCACCCUCUGCAUCAAAGCUCUACUAUCUAUGCAGUUUAAUUAUAUAAUAACAUAAUAUUUAAUAAUAGAGAUAUAACAAUUAUACAAUAAUUCAGAAUAAAUGAUAAGAGAUAAGCGGUGCCACCCAGAGACAGGAACAUACAGAUGUAUACCGUAGUACCCUCGUUCUUCCAACCAAAGACUUCCACAGAUUUCCAGCAGCAAGGCUGGGAGUCCUGUGUUGACCAGAACUGAGGGUCCAGCCAACAGGACCCUGUGUGCUGUUAGCAGGAUAGCAUUGUGUGCUAUGGGAAACACCAAAAAUAAGA
rnacentral:lncRNA from 1 species